rnacentral:sRNA from 1 species
ACACGAGAAGGGAGGUGGUUUGACAGAUGUAUGCAAACCGGACGCGUGAGGUGACUGCGGGCUGACGGCCUGCCAGUCGCACUCUUAGUGCGGUGCCGACAUGCCGUCGGCCGAAUUCCCAAGCAGUCACCGACCCGCGGGCUCGCCGGUACGUCCGGCCGGCUCCUCUCCGGAGGAACCCGAGCCCGCGGGUUUCUGCAU